GUUCAACUUUUGUUUUCUACCCUUCUAGACAUUUUGUGCGUAUAUGUACACAUAUGUGAGUAGUAAAUGAGCACUUAAUUAGAAUAAUAGACCUUUCUCAUUAGUAUGAGUUCUUUUACUUCCUGUAAACAAGCACACUAAAAACUUUAAUUUUUUCAGAUGGACUGAGCUGUGUCCAAUGAUUGAAGCCAGGAAGAAUCAUGGGCUGGUAUUUGUAAAAGACAAGAUAUUUGCUGUGGGUGGUCAGAAUGGUUUAGGUGGUCUGGACAAUGUGGAAUAUUACGAUAUUAAGUUGAACGAAUGGAAGAUGGUCUCACCAAUGCCAUGGAAGGGUGUAACAGUGAAAUGUGCAGCAGUUGGCUCUAUAGUUUAUGUCUUGGCUGGUUUUCAGGGUGUUGGUCGAUUAGGACACAUUCUCGAAUAUAAUACCGAAAC
rnacentral:sRNA from 1 species